rnacentral:rRNA from 1 species
UACAGAGGUCCCAAGCGUUGUUCGGAUUCACUGGGCGUAAAGGGUGCGUAGGUGGCCGGGUAAGUCUGAUGUGAAAUCUCCGAGCUCAACUCGGAAAUGGCAUUGGAAACUAUCCGGCUGGAGGAGUGGAGGGGGGACUGGAAUACUUGGUGUAGCAGUGAAAUGCGUAGAUAUCAAGUGGAACACCAGUGGCGAAGGCGAGUCCCUGGACACUUCCUGACACUGAGGCACGAAAGCUAGGGGAGCAAACAGG